CUGGGGAUGGAUGUCUUGACUGUGGAUUUCUCCUUGGCUUGCUCUUUCUCUUCAUCUUCUGUCAGGUUCAUUCAUCACUCAUUGGCUACAGAGGCUUUCUCAGUUUUUACAUCUGAGCCAACUUGACACUAGCCUUAGACAGAAGCACUGUGGUACUGGCAGUCAGAAGAAGACAACUGUGCUUUGAACUUUUUUAUUUCCUUAAGACAGUACAGUCUACCAAAUCCCUUUUCUUUAGAUAUAGAGAAGAAAUGGCUUUCAUUUCUUCUGACAAAAUAAUCCAGUGCUGGUAAGUUUAACAUAUGAAGUUAAGAGUAAGGUCCUCAUUACCCACUGUAUUUAAUUUCUGCUUGACUAUCUAUUUUCAUUUUCUCUCUCUCUCUCUCUCUCUUUUUUAAUUUAAAUCUUUACUGUAAGAAUUUCAUUCAGGCUUUGGUUUCCACUUCUUUUGUGAGAUUCGUAUCCUUUGACAAUACAAAAUAACUAUGAAGUAUUCUCACAGCUCUUCAAAAUCUCAACAGUUUCCAAUUAAAUCAAGCAAAUUAUCUGAAGCAAUUAUGUUAUUUGUGAAUGCAUGUGGUGCCUUUCACAUUUCAUGAAGCAGUCACUGUUGGUAACUGUUAACUAUUUAAUGACGAAAAUAAUAUAAUCCAUACUACAGAUAUAUCAAGCAACAGGCAGAAGAAUCUAGAUGCACUAAUCUGCUCCCAUACUAGCACUCAGGUUGGUUGUCUGAGAAGAAAAAACAAAGACCAAAUGACUGUCGAGACAGAAAUGAUCAAAUAGAACAACUACAUCCUGUUGCAGAUCCUAUUUACAGAGAUGAAGGUUACAUGGUGGAGUAAACAAUGACAUCCAGUGGCCAUAUGGACUCAAUGCGUUUGUGUCAUUUUGGAUUUUCUCAUCUCAAGUGUUCAUAUCGUUUAGGGGAGUUAUCACUGCUAUUGUUUUUAUUUGGUUUUCAUUUUAUUUCAUGGUAGUAAAGACCUAGUAGCAGAAGUUGUAUUUUUUUUUUUUUUUUGAAGCCAAAUAACAUUGCAGGCUUGAUAUGCA
ensembl:lncRNA